UACAGAGGUCCCAAGCGUUGUUCGGAUUCACUGGGCGUAAAGGGUGCGUAGGUGGUGAGGUAAGUUUGAUGUGAAAUCUCCGGGCUCAACCCGGAAAUGGCAUUGAAUACUAUCUCGCUAGAGGAGUGGAGGGGGGACUGGAAUACUUGGUGUAGCAGUGAAAUGCGUAGAUAUCAAGUGGAACACCAGUGGCGAAGGCGAGUCCCUGGACACUUCCUGACACUGAGGCACGAAAGCUAGGGGAGCAAACAGG
rnacentral:rRNA from 1 species